rnacentral:rRNA from 1 species
GGCUACCGCUAUUGGAGUUCGAUUAAGCCAUGCGAGUCGAGAGUCUUAGGGACUCGGCGUACCGCUCAGUAACACGUGGGUAACCUGCCCUAUGCUGGGGAAUAACCUCGGGAAACUGAGAAUAAUGCCCCAUAGUUCACUACGCCUGGAACGGUGAGUGGAUGAAAGCUCCGGCGGCAUAGGAUGGGCCUGCGGCGUAUCAGGUCGUAGGGGGUGUAACGUACCCUCUAGCCAUCGACGUGUACGGGUGUUGGGAGACAUAGCCCGGAGAUGGAUUCUGAGACACGAAUCCAGACCCUACGGGGUGCAGCAGGCGCGAAAACUUGGCAAUGCGAGAAAUCGUGACCAGGGAACUCCAAGUGGCUGGGGUAAGACCCAGUCUUUUCUUGACUCUUCAAAGGUCUUGGAAUAAGAGGUGGGUAAGGACGGUGCCAGCCGCCGCGGUAAUACCGGCGCCUCAAGUGGUAGUCGAUUUUAUUGGGCCUAAAACGUCCGUAGCCUGUUUGGUACAUUCGUGGGUAAAUCAACCAGCUCAACUGGUUGAAUUCUGCGAGCACGGCCAGACUUGGGACCGGGAGAGGUGUGGGGUACGCUCAGGGUAGGGGUAAAAUCCUGUCAUCCUGAGCGGACCACCUGUUGCGAAGGCGCCACACUAGAACGGAUCCGACGGUCAGGGACGAAGCCUAGGGGCACGAACCGGAUUAGAUACCCGGGUAGUCCUAGGUGUAAACGCUGUGGACUUGGUGUUGGGGAUGAUCCGAUCAUUCUCAGUGCCGAAGCGAAGGUGAUAAGUCCACUGCCUGGGGAGUACGGUCGCAAGGCUGAAACUUAAAGGAAUUGGCGGGGGAGCACCGCAACCUGAGGAUUGUGCGGUUU